rnacentral:rRNA from 1 species
GAUGAACGCUGGCGGCGUGCCUAACACAUGCAAGUCGAGCGAACCCUUCGGGGUGAGCGGCGGACGGGUGAGUAACGCGUGGGUAACCUGCCCUGUACACACGGAUAACAUACCGAAAGGUAUGCUAAUACGAGAUAAUAUAUUUUAAUCGCAUGGUUAAGAUAUCAAAGCUCCGGCGGUACAGGAUGGACCCGCGUCUGAUUAGCUAGUUGGUGAGGUAAUGGCUCACCAAGGCGAUGAUCAGUAGCCGACCUGAGAGGGUGAUCGGCCACACUGGAGCUGAGACACGGUCCAGACUCCUACGGGAGGCAGCAGUGGGGAAUAUUGCACAAUGGGCGAAAGCUUGAUGCAGCAACGCCGCGUGAGCGAUGAAGGCCUUCGGGUCGUAAAGCUCUGUCCUCAAGGAAGAUAAUGACGGUACUUGAGGAGGAAGCCCCGGCUAACUACGUGCCAGCCGCCGCCGUAA